ACAUCGCCAAGCCACCACUGUAUUGAGGAAGAGUUUUAAUGACUUUUUUUUUAAAACUUGAAAGGCCUCGAGGGUGUGGUCUUGAGGACCGCAAAAAUGCCCUCAGGCUUCUCUCUGCUGUUUUGAUCAUCCACUCUGCUCUUUUGUUUUCCUUUACCAGGGAAUUGUGGGCUAGAUUUUGUGAGUGAUGAGGUAACCUUGUUUGUGUUCAUCAGCAGUGAGGAGAAGACGAAGACUUUUCAGAAUCCUCUGGCUUUCCCUCCUGAAUUGAAGUUGAAAGUCUGGGAUGUCUGUGAUCAAAAUAUUUUUCUAGCUGAGAUGAUGCAGCAGUUCAGAGAAUAGAGCAGAAUAAGGCUAUUCGCAGACAUUGUGCUGUGGAGUAGGAGGAGUAUACGGAUCCCCAUGAAAAAGACAACCAACACCAUG